AAGAAAAGAAAAUUUUUUAAGUUUUUUUUGGUGUUGUGUUCUUAAACUCCUUACUCAGCAACUAUUGCAGUAUUUUUAUAAAAAUUGUUCAAGUUUCGGGUGUUACCGUUUGAUUUUAAAGCUACGGUUUUUAAAAUUAAAAUCCAGAAUAUUCCUGCAAACUGUUUCUGAUUGGAAUUGUUGAAAUAGCUACUGUUUUCCAAAGGUACGUUUUACAAAAUUUCAAUACUGUUUAAAAAAAAAAAAAAGAUUACAGUAUUGAUUUAGAUUAUCUGUUUUUAAUUCUAGACCAUCUGUUUUUGAGUGAUUAGAAUACUGUUUACGAUAUUUCUGGUUGAUUUAAUAUUUAAAAUUCUGUAUAUUUUCAUUUAUAUAAUACAUUUCUGUAUCUCUAAAAUAAAUAAAUUACAAGCAUUCAGAUUUAAUAAUUACAGAUUCAGAAACUUUUAACAAUUUACAGAAUUCAUGAAAUUGUUCAGAUUUUUAGUAAACUGUUUUUUUUCUCUUCCAGCCAUUUAUUUUGUUCAGAUUCUAUAUAACAAUCAAUAUAUAUAUAUAUAUAUAUCUAGUUUUUUUUUAAUGGUUAGUAACAGUAGUUUGUUUAAUUUACAGAAACUGUUUUUCUGUACAGCUACUACUUUAAAAAAAUUGUUUACUGUGUGCUAAACAUUUUUUUUUUUAAACUAAUUGUGGGUUAAUGAGUUUAUAAAUAACAAUAAAUAACAUUUUUUCAGUUUUAAACUUGUUUGUCUCAUUUUUUCAAGAAUUUGAAAAUUUCAGAUUUCCCAAAAUUUUCCCAGCAGUUUCCGUUUUAAAAGUAUUAAAUACUGAAACAAAAAAUAAUAAUAAUUUUGAAAUUGAAACUGAAACUGAACGGCUAGUGCUGUAUAUUAAAUACUAGCUUUUAUAAAUCCAAAAACUACAGUUUCUAUCCAAGAGUUUUUUAAACAAAAGUUACUGCUGCAUUUUAGUUAAAACAAUAGUUUAUAGUUUAAACCCAGGAUUGUGGAAAAUUACUAUUAUUUACCAAAGAUUUUUGAUAAUUUUCAAAUUGGGACGUCAACUUUUUCUGAAAAUUACAAUUUGGAACCCUUAAGUUUCUGUUAUUACCUUUUUUAUCCUACAAACUUUUCAAAAUUAUAGAUUAAACUCUAUAUUUGAAAAUUAGAUGUUGACCACGGUUUUUUUUCAAAAAUAUAAAUUUCUCAUAUUUUGAAUUUACUAUUUUACCGAAUAUAUUGUUGAAACUUACACGUUUUGGUUUUUAUUUGUAGCUUUCAAAUAUUUUGAAAAAUGCUAAUCUGAAUGACAAGGUGGGAGGACGUGGUGGCUUGUUGCUAACACACAACAACUGGUGGGAGUACCACUUCGGCGUACUCACCUGUAGUGCCCUACUGUGACUGUACAUGGGGAGAGACCCGAAAUUCAGUGGCCUAGACUUCAUUAUUUGCAGCAGAAAUGUUUGUUUUCUUGACCGACUGUCUAUGGGCUUGCAAAAUAUUUGCAAGAGGAGGCUCUUACAACUAUCCGAAGGCGGAGCAAGGAUCCUACAACCGUGGCAGCGGUGCAAGCAUGGAGGCCCGGGGACUUCCUUGAAAGAUACUAUAUUCUGAACGGUCUUGAAAGACGUUGUACAAUGUGUACAUCCGCUGCCAUACGACAAAAUUGUUGUGGAUUCACUUGACACAGAAGUACAAGGUUGAAGAUGGCCAGGUGCCAGAAAUUUUCGAUUGCCGGUUUCUCUUGGACUUUCAAGAUGUUGAUUCUAAUAAGUCAGUGGCCCAAGUGUCAAGACUUCCAAUUAUCCUUCAUGAACUAGACGCCGAAGGGGAUGGCUCUCGUUGAAGAAUUUCAUGGUGAUAAUUGAGAAUUGCCACCUUCAUGGAAGUACCUUUCAAAUUAUUUGAAGCACAAGCGAAAGGGCAAUGAUUUUCGAGGAUCUUAUAGUCCCUUGAGAAUGAGAGGACAACCCUUGAAUGACAGAAAAGGGGGGCUACCACAUGGAGUAAAAAGCCAAUGGUGGUGGAACACAGUCAUAGAAUGGUAACCAGAACAAGAAGGAAGCUCAGUGGACCAGGCAGAGUUCGGUGGCAAUUCAAAUCCGAAAAAUUCGAUGGAAAUUGCUAUACUUUAGCAGCCUGGACACGGGCAAGACUGCACAAGCCGAGCUCCUCAGAGGAAUUUCAAGAAAAAAAAGCAGGCCAGCUAAGAGCUCACUUGCUGAAGUAAGCAGUCACAAUGACAUUUUAGCAGUUAGACUUGAGACCUAUGUGCUGUUUGUUGUCUGAAAUUAACUUGGUGUGUAGGCAAACGCCAGGCAGUGGUUGAUGGACACUAGCAGCUCACGCCAUGUAUGCUGUGCCAAAGAAUUAUUCUCUUCUUUCAAGGAGACAUCGAAUGGUUACAAUCUACAUGGGGAAUUCUUCAGUUCCUAGGUAUGGGUCAAGGGACGUCAUACUGAAGAUGACGUCUGAGAAACAAACUCACAUCUAAACAAUGUCCUGUAUGUGCCAGACCAAUUAGAAAGAAUCUAGUGUCUGGAUCAUUGUUAUUAAGGCAUGGGUUUAAGUUAGUUUUUUGAGUCAUAACAACCUGUAAUGCUUAAGAAUGGGGGUUGCACAUUGGGAAGAGUUAUGUUUCUGAUGGCUGUUACGCUCAUUGUGUUUGUCCCAUGUUCAAAAAUGAAUAAGAAAUGCUACUCCUUCUGCUUACGUUUGUCUUGAGUCCUUCUUCUUUCUGGCACGAAAGAUAAGGACAUGUGAUCUAUGAAACAUUAAGAAACUAGUUAAUUGAGCUUAUUACCUAAAUGUGAUAUAGAUCCUAACAACAAAUGGAAUUUUUGUGUGAAGCAAAAUAAAAGUUCCGAGUUUCAUUUAAAAAUAAAUUGAAAGAUCGACUGAACCUCUAGAUUAAUUCACAGCGAUUUGUGAUUUAAAACUGAGUCCAGACUAGAGGAGAAAAGGUUUUUGUGAACCUUUAUUGAUGACGUACUAGAUAUCAGUUUAUGUGUACCUCCCCCCAAAAAAAUUUUAGAGAAGCAAGAUGGGCGUUGGAGAUUUUUUAAAAAAAUCUUCAAAUUGAAGGUGAAAAUCAUUAAGCAAAAGAUUAAGAUUUUGAGAAGUGAUAGGGUGGGUGAAUAUGAAUCACCUUUUGGGUGAAUUCUGUGCUGUAACAUGAAAUUAUUCAUCAACUCCUGCUCCUUAUUCUCCCACAAUCAAACGGUAUUGCUGAACGCAAGAAACCGUACAUUGAAAAAGAUGAUGAAUGCUUUAUUGAUUAGUUCUGGACUACCACAGAACUUGUGGGGGGAAGCGUUCUGACUGCUAUUACUUAUUACAUAAGUACCCAUAAAAAAUUAGAGAAAACACCUUAUGAGUUAUGGAAAGAAAGAGUCCUUCCUAUAAUCUAAAAGGUGUGGGGGGUGUCUUUGCAAAGUAAUGGUUCCUACCCGCAAAGAAAGUCAGAAUUGGGCCAAAGACAGUGGAUUUUGUUUUUCAUUAGUAUCCCCCGCCCAUAACAGUAUGCAUAUAGGUUUCUUGUGCUAAGUCAGAAAUACUUGACAUUCAUGAAAACACAUGAUUGAUUCACGGAAUGCAAGUUUCGUUGAAACUUAUUUCCGUACAAGAUUCACAAGAAUCAAAGUCUUUAAAAAGAACACUUGAUAAAAUGUGGGUCAAAGAUCCUAGAAGAGGACAAUGAAGAUGUACCUAGACAAGCAAGAGGGCGAGAACGUCUAACAUCUUUUGUCCUGACUUUUUUGACAUUUUUGUUAGAAAGUGAGCCUCAAACUUUAAAGAGCAAUGUCUUAUCCUGAACACCUCAAUGGAAAGAGGCGUGAAUAGUGAGAAUUGAGUCCAUUCUUCAAAACCACACUUGGGGAAUUGGUAUAUUCUUCCUCCGACUACAAACCCCUUGGGAUCUAAUUGGAUAUUCCAGAGGAAGAUGAAAGCGGUGGAUCCUUGAUAAAUACAAGGCGAGAACUUGUGGUCAAAGAAUAUAAUGACAAAGAGGGUCCUUGAUUACUUUGCACCUAUUCCCUAUAACAAGGAUAACAUCUAUAGAAUGUUAAUAGCUAUAACAAGCCAUUAAUAAUCUAGAAAUUUAUCAACUGGAUGUUUAAAAACUGCCUUUCUAAAUGGGGAUUUCGAAGAAUAAUUUCAUUGAGCAACCGGAAGGUUUUGUAGCUCCCUGGAAGAAAAGCAAGUGUGCAAGUUGUCAAAAUCCUUGUAUGGAUUGAAACAAGCACCAAAACAUGGCUGAAAAUUGAUAAUGCAAUGAUGUUCAAAUGGAUUAAAUUUAAUGAAUGUGAUAAGUGUGUCUAUGUAAAGACACUGAAAAGAAUAUGCCCAUUGUUGCCUAUUGGUAGAUGAUAUGUUUUUUUUUUUCAUCAUUUGUAGUAGUGCUGACAUGAUCAAGGCUACCAGAACAUUCGUGACCUCCAAUUUGAUAUAAAAGACUUAGGGGUUUGUAGCUGUUAUACUAGGGAUUAAGAUCACUAGAAACAUUUGGAGGACUAUCUUGUCACAAUCGGCAUUCAUAUUGAGAAAAUUCUGAUAAAUUUGACAAGAAUAGUGAUGUGUAGCAAAAACAAACCUGUGGAUGUCAACUACACUCACUAAGAAUACUGUAGAAUGUGUAUCUCUCCAUUUGUAGUAUUCUCCAGAUCAUUGGCAUUUUAAUGUAUUUGAUGAACUGCACGAGACCUGACAUUGCAUACUCAGUUAGCAAACUGAGUAGAUUACAAAUAAUCCGGGGGAAGAUCAUGGAAGCUAUCGUUGAGUACUUAGGUAUCUCUGAUACACAAAAGAUUAUGAUUGCAUUACUAAUAUCCUGCUGUGGUGGAAGGAUAUUGUGAUGCAAACUGGAUAUCAGAUAUUACUAUUCAAAAUCAAAUCCACAGUGGAUAUGUCUUUACUAUGGUAGUGUCUGCGUGUCAUGGAAAUCUUCUAAACAAACGUGUAUUGCUAGAUUCCACAAUGGAAGCUGAGUUCAUUGCCUUGGAUAAAGCAGGAGAAGAACAGAGUGGCUUCGUAAUUUCUUAGAGAUCUUCCAAAUUGGUCAAAACCUGUGGCCCUCAAUAUGUAUACAUUUGAUAGUCCAAUCAGCAAUUGGAAGGGCACAGAGUAAGACUGUAUAACGGUAAGUCUAUACAUACUCGUCGUAGACAUAAUACCGUGAAGCAACUGCUCACAAAAUGGAGUUAUCUCUAUAGACUAUGUGAAGUCUAAAGAUAAUAUCGGCGGAUUCCGCUAGACCAAAGGUUAACAAGAGAGCAGGUUUGCAAAUCAUCGAGGGGGAUGGGAUUAGAAGCCUAUGUCAAAAGUAGUCAUAGUGGAUACCCUACCCUAGUUGACUGGAGAUCCUAAAUCUAGGUUCAAAGGGAUAACUAACUAUGGUGAAAUUAAAAAGAGCACUGAAGAGACAUUAUCUCUUAGUACCCCCAUUCCUUAUGAAUACAUAGUGAUGUCUGUAUUUAAGAAGGAUAAGCUUUCUUUAUGCUCUUAUGUCUUGAAAUUUCAAGCUGAGUAUGCAGAAUACUCGUGAUAGAAUUCACCUAUGUGAGUAUGAUGUGAGGGCCGCAUCAAUGAGAAUUUUUCAAGGCUGAAAUUGCUUUAAACACUCAUAGAACCAAGGCGGUGUCCAAGUCCAAAACGACACAAUCGGUGAGAACUAAUACAAGUGUUUGGAGAAAUCUGUGUGAUGCCUAUUGUCUUGGUUUUACACAAGACGGUAGAACAGUUCCAAGACCUCGCGUUCACUGUUUCACUAGUAUACUCGAUAGAUUUUCCACAAAAGAAGUUUCAAGGCCGAAAGCUACCUGUUCUUUACACAAGGAAGUACUGUUGUGCUUUCUUCUGAGCCCAGUGAGAGUAAUUUCCGGCCAAUAUCAUCAUGGUGGGGGAUUGUUGGAAAUUUUAAAUUUUGAAUAAAAAAUUUUGAAUUUUGAAUGGUAUAUUUUCCAGUAAAGUGGUGAUAAUGCGAGUUCAAAAGUAUUAUGGCUGCCAUUUCACCAACAUAUUGCAUCAAUUCUUGCCAAUGAAUUAGAAGGCUCCCCACUCCUAUAUAAAGCCUUCUCCUCUUUGUUUCAAAGACCCACCAAGAUAACAAUAUCUGAGAGCACACACUCUCUAAGAGAAGAAGCUUUUUCUUUUUAGCUUUUUUGUCUUCUUCCCUAGAGAGAUCAAAAAACACUGUGAGUUUCCGACGGGCCGUUAGUGCGGUGCUAACACUACGGAGUUUUGCUGUUUUAUCCUGGGAGGCGACGUCCACUGACUCAACGCAUACCGGUGAUGGACGAAUCAUGCCUUAAGGAGAUCGUGUGAACAACAGACUCAGCUCGGUUUGCAAUUCUUUUCAUCUUACUUUACUGUUUUGUAUUUCCUUUUAAUUAUGUUAUUGUAAUCUGUUCUUAUUCAAUUUAAUAAAGUUAAUUAUUUGUUUGUUUUUUCCCAAAUUCUGUAUUGUUCUUCUUCGGUAACAAAUUCUAUAACAGUUGCGACCCCUAUUUUUGACAAUAUUCAUGACGAGAGAAUCAUCGGUAUGUAUAGCAGAGUAAGUGCGUUUGUUACCAGAAGUUCAUUUUGUGGCAGUUCAUACUCUCAUAUAUGUUGGGUCAUAAAAUUUGAGUACCCACCCCAUGUUAGUAUAUAGCACUCUCAUCCUUCCAUUUUGUUGGCGAAACCUAGUUUUUUGACAAUAUUCAUGACGAGAAUCACGUUAUGUAGUAGCAGUGGAAUCUGGAAGAGUAAGCACGGUACCCCACUCUAUUAAACAAAGAAUAAGUUAUUGAUCUGUGGCUUUUUUUUAUACCAACCCUUGACUCCAAUCAAAAAAUAUUUAACACUUUUUUAAGUCCGGAUGUGGAAACUAGUUAUGCUCCUAAGUUGAAGUUCCAUCAUCCAUGUAUUCUAGUUCUUAAAGUUAUAACCAGCCGAAAAUAUCUUGUAGUGAUUCAGUGAAGCAUAAAUCCUUAAGAAAAUGUCACUAAUUUAUUGAUUUCAGUUUCACUUUCACUCAUUGUUCAAAACUCCAAAAUCACCGAGGUCACGACUCAUCAUGAAAAACUUACGUUGGAACCAUUCCACGAGCAGUUGAUGAUCGUCGUUUUGAUCAAGAAAGUCGAAAGAAUUGAUUUUCUGACCCAAAUCUCUCUCUCUCUUCUAUCUAUAUGAUGUAUGUUGCUUCUCUGGGUUGAUGACCCUUUACAAGCUAAGAGCGGAUGUAAUUAUUAGUGUAACGGUGGUGUGGUUGCAUGGAUAAAUGAAAAUAUGGACAAAAAUUUCUGUGCAGACUAUAACUACUCGGUAGAUAAAUUUUUGAACACACAAAAUACAAAAUUAAAAUAGAAUCAGUGAAAUUCGUGGGAAGACAUGAGGGGGUUCGUGGGAGUGGAAAGACAGGGGCUACCCUAUCAUAUUUGUUGUAUAUAUAUAUUAUACUACAGUUUUUAUCAAAAGUAGGGGGGCAUGGCCUCCUACUGUCUAAACAUGCAUCCAUCCA
rnacentral:lncRNA from 1 species